GUAGAAACCCAGUUGCACAAGGCUUUAUGGCUGGCAAGGGCACCCCUUGCUGUGUGCAUCCCAGAGGAGGCACAUCUGAAGUCUGCAGAGGAAGCUUCUAUCUUCCCUUCCAACAAAUUCCUGCUCAGGCCAGCAAGGAAGAGAGUUUGAGUUGUUUAUGGGAUUCGUUUAUGGAAUGCACAUGCUGUGCCAGGCAUUGUGCACAGAGAGACCCAGUUCCUGCCCUCUUGGAGUUUAUAUGACAUGAGCUGAAGACAGAUAAGAAGCAAGUGUAAGAGCUACCAGAGGGAGGAAAGUGGAAGCUACCAGAGGGAGGAAGCAUAAACCGGGUCCUGAUCCCUGAUUAACUGAGAAUCAGCCAGCUUGGGAAGGGGAUGGCUGCACAAGCCCACAGAACGCAGACUCCCAGAGGAGGCAGGGGUAGGAAAGCUCUUGGCCGUGGCCCGAUUGUCUGGGAGACGGGAGUCAAGAUGGCUUGGUUUCAACAAACUGGCUUUGAUUACUUGGCGUUUGGCUCUGUGCUCUCUGGCCAGGUCAGCCUGACCCAAGGUUGUCACCCCAGAGGACUGUGAAAUAACAUGUGCAGUUAACUGGCCACUGCUGAUCUGCGCCUGGAAGACAACGUCUCAGUUGUUAAGGCUUUUGUUGGCCUGCUCAGGAGCCGAUUCUUUUUGCCUGCAAAUUAUUAUAGGUUCCUGAGGGAACCAUGCCAGUCCUUGCGCUUUAGCUGCUCUGCUCCAUGCUGGGCUUGGAGGGUGAGAGAGGAGACAGAAUGGGGAGAAGGAGGAAAGGGGAGGCCGUCCCUUGUAGGUGGAUAUUUUAAGGUUCUGAUGUUAGCUGUGGUUGGAAUUGACCAAGGGAGGCACUAGCAAGAGGUUGGAUGGCCGGAAGAGGAAAGAAACCAGAGUUUCUCUCCAACUCCUCUCUCCCUUUCUCUGCCUCAGAUGGUCAAAAUUUUAAGGAGACAGAAUCCAACAGGGCUGGGAUUAGGAUGAAGUGAAUGAGGCUGAGUUGUGCAAAUACGAGGUCAGAUCCUGACCUUGUUCAUCAUGGAAUUUUUGCAUUAAUGUUGAUAUUUUUUAAAUGUUGUGUUGAAAUAUUUAUCUUGAUUACUAAAUUUUUAAAAAUUUUCCUUAGACUUUACCCCAAAGCAAGUGCCUUGCUUGUUUCAUCCUGGCCCUGGCCUUGCCUUCCAGUGUGUGGGACACAUUUACACACAGAGAAAAAUAAGCAAUCCAAAUGGUCUAACUCUACUGGAUAUUCUCUAUGCUGCUUUCAUUCACUCAAUAAUGUGUAGCUGAGCACUUUUCUGUGUCAAUGAAUAUAGUUCCACAUUAUCCUGGGCUUGAAGGAUGUGUUAUCAAAUAUUUUACUAACCCCCCACUGAUGCAUCUAGCAGGAUCUGUCCAUGCCCUGCGCAUAUCUCUAACAUUUCUAUGUGCUCCAGCCAAACUGCACUGCCAGCUCUGCAUUUCUGAGUGGAAAGUCUUGUUUCAGAUCUGCAGAAUGCCGUGCUGCCUAUCAUUUCAGCAGGGGAAGCUGCCAUAGAAUUAAUACCUGCCAGGAAUAGCUCUUGACCAAUGACUAAGGGGGAACUGGUGUGUAAAUACCCCAGCUCCCUUGCCUAUUGGGUGGGACAACUCAGAUGUGUGCUGUACAGUAUAUCCCAGAGCUUUCUCCAUGGGUACAAGCUCCAGUUGCUCACAGUAGUACUUGGCUUAAUAACCUGCCUUGAUUGGCUGCCUGUCCUUCUCCAUAUCACUUUUCCUUUGCCUCCUGGGGCUGUCUACACCCCCAACCCAGUAACAACUGCACUUGAAUCUUUGUCUCACGAUCUGCUUCUGUUAAGAUGGGCAUUCCGAUUAUUUUGAAUUUUUCAAUGUUAACAUGUUCACCGCCCAUAUGGAUUUUGGCAUAUUAAUAGCCCCCACCCCCUCCUUUAGGGAUGUGGUCCAUACAAACCAAGGGUAACAGAAGAAGGUAAAGUAGAGAAAACAGACAGAAACUCUGAAAUGCUACCAUGCAUCUCAAAGUUAUGUCCUAUAAAAUGAGCCUUUUCACUAUGUGCUGUGGCAUCAAAAGUGUUGAGAAGCAUUGUUCUCACUGGUCAGACUGUGCCUUCAUCUCUGUAGCUCCAAUGAGUGACACAUAGUAGAUAAUGGAUAAAUAUGUGUUGCAUGAAUAAAGGGAGGAGUAAUUGGUUCAUGCUCUGAGCCUCUGCCAAGCUGAGUAUAUGAGACCAUUUGAUUUACCUGAGCAAUUGAGCAUCUGUGCCUCAGGACUCUCUAGUUCUACCAUCAAGACAGAGAAUGGUGUGAUACUCAGGUUAACAAGGUGAGUCCAGGAGGGUUGCCCUGGAGGCAUAAAACAGGGGCCAAGCCUUUGGAGAUAAAGCAUGCUCUGGUCCUAAAUGGCAGCAGAAGAAGCUUCCCAAAGUGAGAGUCAGGCCACAAUACCUCCCCUGGGAGGACGUCUGUGCCUGUUUAUGUUGGAGAGAGAAGGAGCUUUUUCAUCCCAAGUGAGUAGAGAGGUUACAUCCUCUGACUGCUUCCCCCUCUCUCUGUCUUUCUCUUUCUCGUGCUGUGAAGGCCAAGUAUGACUUCACAGAAUCCCUAAACUCCAUAAAUCAGUUCUAGAUCCAUCCCUUGCAGCUGUAAUGAAAGCAGGAUUUUCACAAAAACUGGAUACUUCUACUGUU